rnacentral:tRNA from 1 species
CUACCACACUUCUAGGAGAACGUCUCAAAGUGUCCAAGGGUAGGUCUUUUUUGCCUCUAUAGUUUAAUGGA